UACGUAGGGUGCGAGCGUUGUCCGGAAUUAUUGGGCGUAAAGAGCUUGUAGGCGGUUUGUCACGUCGGGUGUGAAAACUCGGGGCUUAACCCCGGGCCUGCAGUGGGUACGGGCAGACUAGAGUGCGGUAGGGGAGACUGGAAUUCCUGGUGUAGCGGUGAAAUGCGCAGAUAUCAGGAGGAACACCGGUGGCGAAGGCGGGUCUCUGGGCCGGUACUGACGCUGAGACGCGAAAGCGUGGGGAGCAAACAGG
rnacentral:rRNA from 1 species